UACGAAGGGGGCUAGCGUUGCUCGGAAUCACUGGGCGUAAAGCGCACGUAGGCGGGUCGUUAAGUCAGGGGUGAAAUCCUGGAGCUCAACUCCAGAACUGCCCUUGAUACUGGCGAUCUCGAGUUCGGGAGAGGUGAGUGGAACUGCGAGUGUAGAGGUGAAAUUCGUAGAUAUUCGCAAGAACACCAGUGGCGAAGGCGGCUCACUGGCCCGGUACUGACGCUGAGGUGCGAAAGCGUGGGGAGCAAACAGGGAUUAAGAAAACCCCGGUGAGUCCCAGAACCCGAAACGUA
rnacentral:rRNA from 1 species